UAGGGAAUCUUCGGCAAUGGACGGAAGUCUGACCGAGCAACGCCGCGUGAGUGAAGAAGGUUUUCGGAUCGUAAAGCUCUGUUGUUAGAGAAGAACGUUGGUAGGAGUGGAAAAUCUACCAAGUGACGGUAACUAACCAGAAAGGGACGGCUAACUACGUGCCAGCAGCCGCGGUAAUACUUAGGUCCCGAGCGUUGUCCGGAUUUAUUGGGCGUAAAGCGAGCGCAGGCGGUUCUUUAAGUCUGAAGUUAAAGGCAGUGGCUUAACCAUUGUAAGCUUUGGAAACUGGAGGACUAGAGUGCAGAAGGGGAGAGUGGAAUUCCAUGUGUAGAGGUGAAAUGCGUAGAUAUAUGGAGGAACACCGGUGGCGAAAGCGGCUCUCUGGUCUGUAACUGACGCUGAGGCUCGAAAGCGUGGGGAGCAAACAGG
rnacentral:rRNA from 1 species